CAGGGAGACAACAAAAUGUUUAAUAUUAUUAUUUUGUCACCUUAGGUCGAUCGGUAUCUCACGUUUUUAAUUUAUUAAAAAUUUCAUUUCCUAAGUUUUCUAGGUCACACCCAUUAUUUUUCCUGGGCCAUUAGCUCAGGUGGUUAGAGCGCACCCCUGAUAAGGGUGAGGUCCCUGGUUCAAGUCCAGGAUGGCCCAUAUCUCUAUGUUGGGGGUAUAGCUCAGUUGGUAGAGCGCCUGCUUUGCAAGCAGGAUGUCAGCGGUUCGAGUCCGCUUACCUCCACUGAUUACCACCUCUUCCAUAACUGGUAGAAAGGAAAUGUUUUGAGCUGUGAUCAAAUUCUGAAAGAAUCUAGCUUCCUAAUGAAAUCAUUAAGAUGCUGGACUCAUUGAAUUAAUUUCAUUGUUUUCAGAGAACCUUGACAACUGCAUAGAUUAUUUUUAAAGACAAUAAGCAUCUUUAAUGAUGCAGAUUUAUUAUUUGUGCGAAUGCAUUAAUAACAAUUCUAUUAAGCUGAUGCUUCAAUUAUUGAAGUUAUU
rnacentral:tRNA from 1 species